AAUAAUUGUUUUUGAACAAAUUAUUUCUGAUUUUAGAAACUAAAGGCAAGGAUGAAUGGGUACUUCCCUGGGUGAGAGAAAUUAACAAUUGUCUAUUUCAAGAAUAAACACUGCUGUUCUUAUUUUGCAUUUUUAAUGAUCUGAAAGAGGGACAGCCUAGUGAGAACUCCACAAUUUAGAUGCUGAUAAUCUCCUCCAAGUAGUCAGCAGCUAGCCUCUGGGGACAAACCUCUGGGUUCUGCAAGGUAAUUAGAACCUUACUGCUACAUUGGGAUCUUUGCAUGUUCAGGUUAAUUUUCUCAUUUGUCCCUUCUUUAGAAUAACUGUUUGAAAUUUGAUGAUCCUGGCAGGACAACAGUUGUUGUUUUUUAACAGAUUAAAAAAAAAAAAACUGAGGCUCUGAGAAGCAAAAGGUUUGCCAAGUUCAUUCACCUAGUAAGUGAAAGAGGUUGGACUGAAACAAAGGGCAUUUGACUCCUGGUGCAAGGUUGCCUAACACAACAAAGGCAUUAGAAGCCAAAAAUUGUAGACGUUCACAAAUGAUUUUGAUAAAUCCUUAGAUGUCAGACACAUAACAGAUGAGUAAAGGUCAUCAUGUGUUCUUAAUACCCAUCUUCUCCUUCUUCAGGCUAACGUCAUGGAGGGCAGCCAUGCAAUCCCCUAUAAAACCCUUUGCCAUCACUGUCAGAAACGGAGUCCUGGACUCCAGGCCCAUUGGCUUGUCCCAGUGAGCCCUUUCUCAAGUUCUUAUCUUUUGGAUACAGAAGCAUAUUACUAGGGAGUGUGAAGGGAAAGUUGACUUUAAUCUUAAUUGCCUGCAUAACAGUAUUUUUAAAAAGAUCUCACUCUGUAAAAUAUAAAACCUUACCAACAUCAUAGACGUCAGGCAUCCCAGGGCAGAGCAAAGGUUAUUAGAAAAGAAAAGCCAAGCUUGCAGUUACUCUGUCUUCUCUUCCUCUGAAUUUGCCAUCAAAAUACGGAUGCACUUCCAAGCAGACCAUAGCCAGAUUACAGAAAGCAGUCUGUGCAACUACUCUAUCCCUGCUUAAUGUACAUGCCAGGACAGGUCAGAACCUUCCCUUCACGCCGGCCUCACCAAGUAGGGACUGAACUACAGGACGACCAACGAACGUGACUUGUCCCUAGAGGCAUGGAGCCGCGGAGUCACAAGGAUUAAAAAAGGCCUCGGCGCACCAGUGAAGCUCCGUCCACUCCCUCCCUCGGCCUUGUGGCCGGGCUCGGGAAUUCCACCGGCAGGCUAAGCUCAAACGUUUCAGAGUUCUCGAGUCAACUGAAUGCUUGAACAUGGAUCUGGAAUUGACUACUUUCCCAUUGUUCUUGAAAACAAAGGUGCUUUUGCUGUGAAAUGGAUAUAUAAAUUCUUCUCAAGAGCCCAUCAGGAAAACAAUAUAGUGUAAGUCUUCCUUAACUAAGGGACAAUUGUUCUUUCUUCAUUAUAUUUCUUAAAUUCACUUUCUUUUUUUAUUUUUCCAUGACCGCCAUUGUAAGUUUUAAUUCUCAUCUGUUAUCCAGACAAUUUCACUGCCUCUUAAUUGGUCUUCCAUCUUUAGUCUUCCUUCGGUAUUUUGUAUGUACGACACCAGCCAAGACUUCUUAAACAGUUUAUCACACCACCUCCUCUCCCCAGAUUUGCAUGAGUCCUUAUUAUCUCCUCCUGGAGGGUAAAGAGCAUUUAGCAUUUAUUUUUCUAUCCAGACAAAAAAUAUAGGAGCAUUUCCAUGCUUGUCCUUGUACAUGUAUUUUUUAAAUUAACAAAUGAAUUAAUGAAUGAGUGAAUAAAGUGUCUUAUAUGGUAAGAACAUCACACAUCAAGUACAUGUGGUACUUAAUUUUCAAGUACCAUUUUUCAAAUACUGUUGUGACUAAUUUGAAAUCAAUUCAAGUCUCCCUAGUGGAUAAAAUUUGAGUUUAUUAUGUAUUUUCAUGCUAUGUGGGCACUGUUAUAACCUACAAUUAUGAGAUUCACAUACCAUGAGCACACUUGUGGAGGUUUUAAACUAUGCCUACAAAUCUUUGUUAAGGAUCCCUUGCAAAAGUGGAGCUUAAUUCACCUCCUUUUAUGAGUGCAUUGGACUUUCUGAUUUUCUCCUGUUCUAAUGAGUAGAAUAUGGUGAAGGUGAUAGUGGGUGACUUCUGAGAAAAGAACAUAAAAGGCUUUGUGGUUCCCUCCUUCCUCUGGUAAUUCACUCAUGUGCCAUGCCAUGAAGACAUUUCUUGGAAAGUACCAUGUGGUGGGAAACUGAGCUCUCCAGGCAACAGCCUGUGAGGAGCAGAGGCCACCUGACAACAUCCUUGUUGAGUGAGUUUGGAAGCAGAUUUCCCAGUGUAGGUAAGCUUUCAGAUGACUGCAGCCCCACCCAGUAUGUUCACUGCAGUGUCAUGAGAGGUCCUAGCACAGAACCAUCCAGCUAUCUGCUACCUUAAAAAAAAAAAAAAGAACGUGGGAAUAAUAUGAAAAUACAUGUUUGUUAGUUUAAGCCAUUACAUUCUGGAAUCAUUUGUCAUAUAACAAUCGAUAAUAAAACACUCAGGGCAGAUUUUAUUUUUAAAUGAGUGUGCAGGAGGUAUAAGGAGUUAUGAUCAGAAAUAAUCUCAUAUCCUCUCUCUCUCUUUUUCUUUUACAUACAGAAGUUAAUAACCAUUUUGUUGAGAACAUAGCAAUAUUUUCCAUGGUGUAUUUGGAGUGCAAAGUUAGAAAAUAUACCUUAGACUUAUAUCAUCAUCAUUCUUACAAAAAAUAUUAAAAAUAAACUAUUGGCAAAUAAUAUUCUUGUAUUCAAUGACUUUCGUUAAGCCAUUAAAUAAUAUAUCCCAGCACCUAGGCACUCAGAGACUAUAUAUAGCAUUCUGUUUGCCACAGGUAUUCCUUCUUUCUUUCCGUAAUUUUUAUAAAAUAAACUAAAUUCCAAAAUAUUUAUUCAUUAUGGAUUACAUUUUCACCAACAAGACGUGUUUUAGUAGUGCAU